ensembl:lincRNA
GAGAGAGCACCAGAAAUGAUAUAAAUCACGAUAUCUCAAAAAAAAAAAUUUGUGUACAGAUUUUGACGAAAGUUGGUGGACAGAUUGAGUGCGUGACGACGAUGAUCUUGUCAAGUAUGUUUCUUUAACAUACACCAGUGUGUGUGACGAUGAUGAAUUGAUUUGAUUUUGGUGUGGAUCCGGAUCUGGAUCCAGGUGAAGUAUGUGCUCUACCUCAUGUUCUUCUCAUUUAAUGAUAAAAUCGACAUUAAAUUUAAAUGUUGCGAUAUGUGGAAUUGAAUAAACCAUUUUUUAUUAUUAUUAUUAUUAUUAUUAUUAUUAUUAUUAUUAUUAUUAUUAUUAUAUAUUUAUUUUACUUUUUUUUACCCCAUGCACAUGAAGCGAAAAGUGGGGUUAAGCAAUUGGUUCAUCUCCGUCUGUUUGUCUUGAAAUGUCAGUUUAUGAUCGAGUAACAACUUAUUUAAAUUGAAUGUUAUAUUUUCAACAUGAAUUGGAAAACAAACCUGCCAGUUUACAGUACUUUGUCUCUGAAUUUGUCUCGAUCGCACGUGUGCAAAGAGGAGUAAGAUAUUUAUUUUACUCCAUCUGUCUGUCCAGCAGUUGUACAAAAUUGAAAAUCAUUUCAAACAGGAAACAUUGUUUUUAAAGGUGUCAUAAAGCACACACUCAACAGGUAUAAAUAACUAAUGUAACGUGUUUGACAGUGUGGCGUAAAAGAUGCUGCAUUAACGGUGGUAUAUUUCUGAAAAAUAUAUUUUUUCCUCCAGUUGUUAAAACCUUAAUUUUAUUUCAAUUGAAUUACACACUUAAACACUGUAGAACUCAAUUUGCUGCCUUUUAAAGCAAAAUUUUGUCACGUGCACACAUGCACAUGUGUUUUUUGCAAGGUUAAUGCAGUUUCAUCCAAGUAUAAAGUGCAUGGAGUUUUAAGAUUGUUUUUGUCUUUGUAUAGCGAUAUGGACCUGUAUCUGGAGGAGUCAUACUCUUCCAAUCUUCAGAAUAGUGUUUCUCAAGAGCAUGUCGUCAAGCCUUCUUCAGAUUGCUCCUCUUCUUCUUCAACUUCAACCCUGUCUUCUAUCUCGCCGCCUCUGCUGUUACAAGGACAACCUGAACACUUUGCAGGUGGUGAGAAUUCCUCUUUGCAAGAGCAUAAGGAUAAAGUGGGCAAAGCUGAGCCACCAGAGUGGCAAACACGUAGUCACUGGCAGAGAUCGGGGAAGCAUAUACCACGCAAGAGCAAGCAACGUUCUACCUGCAUGGCUGCAGGUUGCACCGUGGGUGCUGAGUGUGGAAACCCAGCCUGCGUUGCUCUCGAUAAAGAUUCCGGGCAGUCAUAUGAUGCUGAGUGUGUACAUCAACGUGGGAGAGAGUGUCUACAGGAAGACAGGCCAUUGCACAGGAGCCCUCUGUCUACGGAUGGUGAUGCUGGGAAACGUCUGUCAGAAGUACUUGUGGAGGAAAGAACAGCAUCUUCUGAUACAUCUGUCGAAAGUGGUGUGGAUGGAGUUGCUUUCCUUUUGGAAAGAAUUCGGGCUCUCCAGUACAAUCUUGAAGAAAGGUGAUCCUAAUUUCCAAAUUUUGUGUGUUAUUAUUCGAUCACCUGAAACGUAGUUCCGGGGAGCUUAUGGGAUGGCGCGUCGUCAGUUCGUCCGUCCAUGAACACUUGCAACUUAUUCUCAGAAACUACACACACGAUUUCAAUGAAACUUGAUCACAACCUUCAUCACCCGUGAUGUACCAAAGUUUGUUCAUGGCAUAAAAAAUCGGGGUCUGAGGGGGUCGAUGGAGGGGUUUUAUGGGUGGGAUGGUUAGCCCCCAAAAGAGAUAUUUGCUUUCUUCUCAGAAACUACACACACAAUUCCAAUGGAACUUGACCACAACCUUCAUCACGCUUGAUGCACCAAAGUUUGUUCACAACUUUAAAAAAAAAAAAACCCGGGGCCAUAACAUUGAUUCAUUGGUACAUUUUGCUGACUCCAUCACACGUUGACUUCCUCUUCAG